CUGCAGGACAGGAGGAAGGAAGGAGGGGAGAAAACUCUGAAUACCGUCUUGUUUAUUCCUGCUCUUUUUUUUCCAUAUUUACUUCUGAGCCGUCACUCAACUUCUCUCCUUCCCUCGUCUGUCCUCCCUUGCGGCUUUUCUCUCACGUCCAGGCCGUGGGACGGCGCUGCCGGCGAGCCCUGAGAUCUGGAGGCGCAUCUGCGAUCAAUUAGAGCGCGGCUGCAGCCACCCAUGGACUCGGUGACGGAUGGGGCUCGUGUAUUUAUAGCCGAGCAGAAUCUCCGCGGCCGAUCCGGAAGUCCGAAGCCGAAGUCGUGGCUAUCUGUCCCGGCCUGUCAGGGCGUUAAACCUGUACGGGAAACCGUGGCCAGACCACAUCUGCCCCUCGUUAGGCUGCAUAAAUGACUGCCAUGUGGUGCGCUGAUAAAUAGGCCAGUCUAUUUAUUGGAGCACAACAAAUUGGCUACAAACACUGACAUGGGAUCGAAGAACUAUAAAUAUUGGACGCGAUGAAAGUUUUAAAAUGUGCCGCAGCUAGUUUACGAGAGUCCAGGUUUCCCCUCUCUUUCUUUUUAUGUACUUCGAGCAAGUUCUCUCUCUCUCUCUCUCUCUCUCUCUGGUUCUCUCUUUCUUUUCUUCUCCGACUACCAGUGCAGUAAAAAAAAAAAAAAAAGAAGCAUUUUCUCUCGUUUCUCACUCUGCAGUAAACCAUCCAGUCCGUGACGUGGACUCGCAGUGCUUUUCCUCUACGAUCUUAUCGAGUCGACGCAGAAACGCGACAGAAAUUCCACAUCGAAUCGGCAGCAGACGGGCCGUAAACCUUGUGUAAUUGCAUAUUUGGAGAGUUUAUCUGGGUUUUUUUUUUUUUUUUUUUUUUUUGCGAACACGCACACGAUUCUCUUCCCUGGUGGUCCUUAAACACAUCCAUAUGUCCUGUGUUUCUCUUCUCACUCCUCUCCCUCUCUCUCUAUCUCCCCUUCCCUCCCUCCUUCCUCCCCCUGACUCUUCUGAAACGUUAACCGUCGCACGAUUAGCCGGACCUGCGUGCCGUGCUUUUUUCCCGUCGUGAAGAUGUUGUGCGGUUCGAGACGCUUUCUCUACGUCAGACGAGGUUUCUGCGCGGACGUAGGACGUCAGCGGCGUCCGACCGGGAACACACACGGAACGCGGGGAGGGAUUUGGAUUGGAUCAUGUGUGGGCCUGGAGGAAGAAAGCCCAUCUGUUUUAAAACACGUGCUAAAUAUUAGCGUAUUCGCAUUUUCCUGUUUUGGCGAGUGGAGGGAGGGGCCCGAGAGCAGAAAGGUCUCGGGCCGGGGUUAGGCGCUGUUUGAAACUGGAAACCCUUUUUCAGCCUUAUUUGUUUUAUGAUUCCGCAGGACGCCGUGUUUACACUCGACGUGCAACAUCUGGAUUAGAUAAUUUGUCUGGAAUUAACCGCCGCUGGAUGCUUAUCGAGCCCUGUCUGAUUAAAUCUGUUUGAUGUCUCUGCUUUGUGUUUCAUAAUGAUUUUUUUCCCCCUCUGUCAGCGUGUCACUGUGAGAUUUGCAUAACAGAUGAAGGUCGCGGUGGACGGCAACUAUCCCACACACACACACACACACACACACACACACAGCGUAGCUACAUUUUAUAAUUAGUUUCCUGCUUUUGAUCUCUGUUGGUUCGUUUAAAAAACAAAGUGAUUGGUGGCCAAGGUCCAGCAGGCCUCAAGUCCUGGCAAAACACGUAAAAAAAAAAAAAAAAAAAAAAAAAAAAAAAAAAAUGGCACCACUCACAAAGCUGAUAAGUGUUUCUGUUUGCGUAUUUGUUUACAUGUUUGUGUGUGUCCCUUGGACCGUUCCCAUGUGCCGUGGAAUCAAACAGUCCUGUGUGCUAACUAAUGAACACAUUCUGAGAGAGUCGAGUUCGCCAGAACGUACGCCGAGUGCGUCAGUGGAGUCUGAGUUCUUUCGAAGAUUGAUAACGAGGAGACACCAUGAUGGAACGUUGCCUUGUUUUCGUCUCAUAAAUGAAAUGUAGAUAAGACUGGUCUUGCUCAUUUCAGGCCAGCUGUGCUACUAACGCUGCAAUACACUGCUAGCAACAUGAUUGAUGUCAACUCGUCUGCUAAUUACAAAUAAUUGCUAAUCUAAUGAAGCUGCCUGACAAACAAUUUGUUCUUGUCAGUUUUUGGGUCUCAUUAACGUCCUCGAGCCAUUUGUCUUUCCAAAUGACAGUCGAGAAGUAGCUACUAGUA
ensembl:lncRNA